rnacentral:rRNA from 1 species
UACGAAGGGGGCUAGCGUUGCUCGGAAUUACUGGGCGUAAAGAGCUCGUAGGCGGCUCGUCGCGUCGACCGUGAAAACCCGCAGCUUAACUGCGGGCUUGCGGUUGAUACGGGCGGGCUAGAGUUCGGUAGGGGGAGACUGGAAUUCCUGGUGUAGCGGUGAAAUGCGCAGAUAUCAGGAGGAACACCGGUGGCGAAGGCGGGUCUCUGGGACGGUACUGACGCUGAGACGCGAAAGCGUGGGGAGCGAACAGG